AUGUGUGAGGCUUUGGGUUUGAUCCCCUGCCCCCAGGAAGAUGGGGAAAAGUAAAGCAGACUAGAGCCAUCUUCCUCUUGCAGGCUGAGCCUCCUUUCCAGCCUGAUUCCUUAACCAGGGUCAGAGCACAACACACCCCUUGCGCAAAUUUAGCCUGAGGGGUGCAGUAAAGUUCACAGGAGCAAGUGUUCUGGGGCCUGGAAAGGUUGUUACUGCUCUGCUCCUCCUGGGCUGCCCUGGGCUUUGGGUAAUCUCCCCUUUUCUCACAUUUCACUCUUCCUAGGUAGUAAGAAUCUUGUUCCUAGGUCAGGCCAGCUGUAGCCAAGGGCACAGAAGAGCAGGUGGAAGGUGUGACCCAGGCAGAGACAAGGGAAGGCUGCCAGUGUCUAUUCUAGCUUUGACCGGCCUGGGAUAGUCUAGGGUCAAGUCUCCAGGUAGUCCUGGCUUCUAUCAACAUCAGGAAGGGAAGCUGCAAGAGACACCUUAGGCAGGUACCCCGGACUGUGCCAGCAGCAGCCUGAUGAACUGACCCAGGUGACACCAGACAGACCCAAGCUGAUGACACGGCCUGUGCCCCCUCUCCAGGAUGCCUGCCCGCCCUUCUGCGCCCGCUCAUCACAGCCUCACCGACACCAGCAUCACAGCCCUGCCCAUCGAGGUGGUCGGUGUCCUCAAAGCCAGAUGCCAAGCCAGCCCAGGAAGAAGCACUACUGGGCCAGGAUCCCUGAUGAAGACACCCAUGUUCCAUGAGGUCCUCCUGAUCUCUGCUCAGCCUUCACCACAAAGGCCCAGCGACCCAGGUAUCACCACCCUGGUCUCAGGCUUCUUGGGAGUCUGGGCUGGGCUUGGAGUGAUCCCUCAUUUCAGAAGUCAAAGCAAAAUCUAUUGAAGCAAGAGGCAGAUAGCUGGCACCAUUUCAGUUUGGUUUCAUUUUCUCCACAACUGGCUCUUGGGAUACUCUCUAAUACUCUUUAAAUCUCAAACCGGGGUUUCUGAGUUUCUCUUCUAGUGUCAUUCAGAGCUUUGUGAUCCUGGUUUGUAGACCUGAGUAACCGAAAGAGAGACGGAUCUCCCUGACACUGCAGAAUUAUAUCAGGGACUUAACCAUGAAAGCACUUUUUUUUGUUUUGAAAUAAAAAGUGCUUCAGGUUUGCUCUUCAAGCCAAUGUAUUCUUCCCGUAAACACGUCUCUCGCUUGCUUAUCUGUUUCUCUGCCCACUUCUGAGAAGCCUGUGCUCUCUCUUGAAUACAUACUGCUCCCUACUCUCCCCUCACAUCUUUCUAAGUCUCCAUAAAAAUGUUCUGUUCUUCACACACACACACACACACACACACACACACACACACGAGCUUCAAAAGGAGCACAAAUACGUAACUGCAUGACCAUCAUCAAAGGUACUUUAGAGCUUUAUUAAUUUGGAACCUUAUAGUUAUAAUGUGCGUAUCAGACCUGAAGUGUGCUUAAUUUUCUUCUUGCUAUGUAGGGAGCAGCUAAGAAGUACAUAAAGACUGCAAAGGGACACUCAGGCAUAGUUAUGUAAUAGUUCAUCCCACUUCUGCCAUUUUAAAAAUCAUACCAUUUACUUUUUGGUUUUAUUUCUGGUCCACACUGAGGGCAGGGAGUAGUGCUCCCUGUAGUGCUAGAUCAAACCCAGCAAACCCAGGCCUCCUACGUGCAAAGUAUGCACUCAGUGGAGCUCUCUGGCCACAUACUAUUUGCUUUUGGCAGCAGUUUACAUCCAGUCACUGGAAUCCACAUUUACUAACAAUAGUAGUAAGUGGAGUUACUGCACACUGCUGUAAGAAGUUUGCAUUUCUGGGACAGGGAGAGGGCUCAAAGGAUUGAGCUGCAUGCCCAGCAGACACAGGGCCUCAAGUUUGACCCCUGGUGUAUCCCAGGUAGCCCCAGCACCACUGCAGAGGCCCCACACAAAAAACAAGAAAGUUUCA